GGUGAAAAGCACCCCGGAAGGGGAGUGAAAUAGAACCUGAAACCGUGUGCUUACAAGUAGUCAGAGCCCGUUAAUGGGUGAUGGCGUGCCUUUUGUAGAAUGAACCGGCGAGUUACGAUUUGAUGCAAGGUUAAGCAGUAAAUGUGGAGCCGUAGCGAAAGCGAGUCUGAAUAGGGCGUUUAGUAUUUGGUCGUAGACCCGAAACCAGGUGAUCUACCCUUGGUCAGGUUGAAGUUCAGGUAACACUGAAUGGAGGACCGAACCGACUUACGUUGAAAAGUGAGCGGAUGAACUGAGGGUAGCGGAGAAAUUCCAAUCGAACCUGGAGAUAGCUGGUUCUCUCCGAAAUAGCUUUAGGGCUAGCCUCAAGUGAUGAUUAUUGGAGGUAGAGCACUGUUUGGACGAGGGGCCCCUCUCGGGUUACCGAAUUCAGACAAACUCCGAAUGCCAAUUAAUUUAACUUGGGAGUCAGAACAUGGGUGAUAAGGUCCGUGUUCGAAAGGGAAACAGCCCAGACCACCAGCUAAGGUCCCAAAAUAUAUGUUAAGUGGAAAAGGAUGUGGCGUUGCCCAGACAACUAGGAUGUUGGCUUAGAAGCAGCCAUCAUUUAAAGAGUGCGUAAUAGCUCACUAGUCGAGUGACACUGCGCCGAAAAUGUACCGGGGCUAAACAUAUUACCGAAGCUGUGGAUUGUCCUUUGGACAAUGGUAGGAGAGCGUUCUAAGGGCGUUGAAGCAUGAUCGUAAGGACAUGUGGAGCGCUUAGAAGUGAGAAUGCCGGUGUGAGUAGCGAAAGACGGGUGAGAAUCCCGUCCACCGAUUGACUAAGGUUUCCAGAGGAAGGCUCGUCCGCUCUGGGUUAGUCGGGUCCUAAGCUGAGGCCGACAGGCGUAGGCGAUGGAUAACAGGUUGAUAUUCCUGUACCACCUAUAAUCGUUUUAAUCGAUGGGGGGACGCAGUAGGAUAGGCGAAGCGUGCGAUUGGAUUGCACGUCUAAGCAGUAAGGCUGAGUAUUAGGCAAAUCCGGUACUCGUUAAGGCUGAGCUGUGAUGGGGAGAAGACAUUGUGUCUUCGAGUCGUUGAUUUCACACUGCCGAGAAAAGCCUCUAGAUAGAAAAUAGGUGCCCGUACCGCAAACCGACACAGGUAGUCAAGAUGAGAAUUCUAAGGUGAGCGAGCGAACUCUCGUUAAGGAACUCGGCAAAAUGACCCCGUAACUUCGGGAGAAGGGGUGCUCUUUAGGGUUAACGCCCAGAAGAGCCGCAGUGAAUAGGCCCAAGCGACUGUUUAUCAAAAACACAGGUCUCUGCUAAACCGUAAGGUGAUGUAUAGGGGCUGACGCCUGCCCGGUGCUGGAAGGUUAAGAGGAGUGGUUAGCUUCUGCGAAGCUACGAAUCGAAGCCCCAGUAAACGGCGGCCGUAACUAUAACGGUCCUAAGGUAGCGAAAUUCCUUGUCGGGUAAGUUCCGACCCGCACGAAAGGCGUAACGAUUUGGGCACUGUCUCAACGAGAGACUCGGUGAAAUCAUAGUACCUGUGAAGAUGCAGGUUACCCGCGACAGGACGGAAAGACCCCGUGGAGCUUUACUGUAGCCUGAUAUUGAAAUUCGGCACAGCUUGUACAGGAUAGGUAGGAGCCUUUGAAACGUGAGCGCUAGCUUACGUGGAGGCGCUGGUGGGAUACUACCCUAGCUGUGUUGGCUUUCUAACCCGCACCACUUAUCGUGGUGGGAGACAGUGUCAGGCGGGCAGUUUGACUGGGGCGGUCGCCUCCUAAAAGGUAACGGAGGCGCUCAAAGGUUCCCUCAGAAUGGUUGGAAAUCAUUCAUAGAGUGUAAAGGCAUAAGGGAGCUUGACUGCGAGACCUACAAGUCGAGCAGGGUCGAAAGACGGACUUAGUGAUCCGGUGGUUCCGCAUGGAAGGGCCAUCGCUCAACGGAUAAAAGCUACCCCGGGGAUAACAGGCUUAUCUCCCCCAAGAGUUCACAUCGACGGGGAGGUUUGGCACCUCGAUGUCGGCUCAUCGCAUCCUGGGGCUGUAGUCGGUCCCAAGGGUUGGGCUGUUCGCCCAUUAAAGCGGUACGCGAGCUGGGUUCAGAACGUCGUGAGACAGUUCGGUCCCUAUCCGUCGUGGGCGUAGGAAAUUUGAGAGGAGCUGUCCUUAGUACGAGAGGACCGGGAUGGACAUACCUCUGGUGUACCAGUUGUCGUGCCAACGGCAUAGCUGGGUAGCUAUGUGUGGACGGGAUAAGUGCUGAAAGCAUCUAAGCAUGAAGCCCCCCUCAAGAUGAGAUUUCCCAACUUCGGUUAUAAGAUCCCUCAAAGAUGAUGAGGUUAAUAGGUUCGAGGUGGAAGCAUGGUGACAUGUGGAGCUGACGAAUACUAAUCGAUCGAAGACUUAAUCAA
rnacentral:rRNA from 1 species